rnacentral:lncRNA from 1 species
UAUGUCAUAGAUCCAGGACUUCAGGUAGUCUAUAUAAAUGGUCUAAUGCAUGUGGGUUAAAAGGAUUUUAAUCUUGAUGUCUUCUGUUGCGUGUUUCAAAAAGUUUUAAAAUCUAUACAUGCUUUCUAUCCGAUUUUUCAAUAGCAUGGACUAUGAAGAGAUUCUGACCUAACUAUAGCCCAUCAAAUUUUUUGACAAGAGAGAUGAAGGGAGAA